rnacentral:rRNA from 1 species
AACGCUGGCGGCGCGCUUAACACAUGCAAGUCGAGCGAGAACCAGGGCUUCGGCCCUGGGGACAGCGGCGAACGGGUGAGUAACACGUGGGUAAUCUGCCCUCGGUUCUGGGAUAGCCCGGGGAAACCCGGAUUAAUACCGGAUAGCCUCUCGAGCCCUCGGGCUCGUGAGAAAAGGUAGCUUCGGCCUCCGACCGAGGAGGAGCCUGCGGCGGAUUAGCUUGUUGGCGGGGUAACGGCCCACCAAGGCGACGAUCCGUAGCUGGUCUGAGAGGACGAUCAGCCACACUGGGACUGAGACACGGCCCAGACUCCUACGGGAGGCAGCAGUGGGGAAUCUUGCGCAAUGGGCGAAAGCCUGACGCAGCGACGCCGCGUGAGGGAAGAAGGCCUUCGGGUUGUAAACCUCUUUCAGUUGGGACGAAGCUCCGCCGGUUAAUAGCCGGUUGGAGUGACGGUACCUUUAGAAGAAGCCCCGGCUAACUACGUGCCAGCCGCCGCCGUAAGAC